AGAGACUCUGUGUGGGGGCACUCAACCCCAAAGGCCUUGACAGUUUUUUAAUAUAACAUAUUUAACUUUCAAUUAAAAAUUGCCAAAUAUACCAGCAAAAAUAAUAAGAAAAUAAACUUUAAGUAAUGCCAUUCACUUUUACAUCUGAUUAAACUCCAAUAUAUUAUGGCAGCUGGAUAUUUCUAUACAUAGAAAACUUUCAAAUA
rnacentral:lncRNA from 1 species